GAUGAACGCUGGCGGCGUGCCUAAUACAUGCAAGUCGAGCGAACAGACGAGGAGCUUGCUCCUCUGACGUUAGCGGCGGACGGGUGAGUAACACGUGGAUAACCUACCUAUAAGACUGGGAUAACUUCGGGAAACCGGAGCUAAUACCGGAUAAUAUAUUGAACCGCAUGGUUCAAUAGUGAAAGACGGUUUUGCUGUCACUUAUAGAUGGAUCCGCGCCGCAUUAGCUAGUUGGUAAGGUAACGGCUUACCAAGGCGACGAUGCGUAGCCGACCUGAGAGGGUGAUCGGCCACACGGGAACUGAGACACGGUCCAGACUCCUACGGGAGGCAGCAGUAGGGAAUCUUCCGCAAUGGGCGAAAGCCUGUCGGAGCAACGCCGCGUGAGUGAUGAAGGUCUUCGGAUCGUAAAACUCUGUUAUUAGGGAAGAACAAAUGUGUAAGUAACUAUGCACGUCUUGACGGUACCUAAUCAGAAAGCCACGGCUAACUACGUG
rnacentral:rRNA from 1 species